CAUCAAAUGAAGACAAUAACGACGUAAAUUUAACAAUUGUUAAGGUACAUGUGGAGCAGGAUCUGCAAAACCUGUCGUAGUACUUGAGAUCGUCCACGAUUUAUCUGCUUCAUAAGAGUCAAAAGACAACCACAACUAAUUUCGAUUAUCUUUUUAGUAUCUUAAGCUUCUCAUAUAGAUCUAGGUACAGAAAACAACCAUAACGUCCC
rnacentral:lncRNA from 1 species